CACCACUCAAGCCUGGCUUGGUGUUGGGCGGCGUCCCCUUUGGGGACGCGCCUCGAAACGCUCGGCGGCGUGGCACCGGCUUUAAGCGUAGCAGAAUCUUUCGCUUUGGAAGUCGGGGCCCCGUCUGCCGGAAGACCUACUCGCAA
rnacentral:misc_RNA from 1 species